rnacentral:rRNA from 1 species
CCUACGGGAGGCAGCAGUGAGGAAUAUUGGUCAAUGGCCGAGAGGCUGAACCAGCCAAGUAGCGUGCAGGAUGACGGCCCUACGGGUUGUAAACUGCUUUUGCGGGAGGAUAAAGUGCGCCACGCGUGGCGCUUUGCAGGUAUCCCGUGAAUAAGGACCGGCUAAUUCCGUGCCAGCAGCCGCGGUAAUA